AUUGAACGCUGGCGGCAGGCCUAAUACAUGCAAGUCGAGCGGACGAAGGGAGCUUGCUCCUGGCUUCAGCGGCGGACGGGCGAGUAAUGCCUAGGAAUCUGCCCGGUAGUGGGGGAUAACGUCCGGAAACGGGCGCUAAUAUCGUGUACGUCCUGAGGGUGAAAGUGGGGGAUCUUCGGACCUCACGCUAUUUGAUGAGCCUAGGUCGGAUUAGCUAGUUGGUGGGGUAAAGGCCUACCAAGGCGACGAUCCGUAACUGAUCUGAGAGGAUGAUCAGUCACACUGGAACUGAGACACGGUCCAGACUCCUACGGGAGGCAGCAGUAGGGAAUAUUGGGCAAUGGGCGAAAGCCUGAUCCAGCCAUGCCGCGUGUGUGAUGAAGGUCUUCGGAUUGUAAAACACUUUAAGUUGGGAAGAAGGGAAGUAAAUGUAAACCUGGCUGUCUUGACGUUACCAACAGAGAAAGCAACGGCUAACUACGUG
rnacentral:rRNA from 1 species